CGGGACGGGUGAGUAAUGUCUGGGAAACUGCCUGAUGGAGGGGGGUAACUACUGGAAACGGUAGCUAAUACCGCAUAACGUCGCAAGACCAAAGAGGGGGACCUUCGGGCCUCUUGCCAUCGGAUGUGCCCAGAUGGGAUUAGCUAGUAGGUGGGGUAACGGCUCACCUAGGCGACGAUCCCUAGCUGGUCUGAGAGGAUGACCAGCCACACUGGAACUGAGACGCGGUCCAG
rnacentral:rRNA from 1 species